rnacentral:rRNA from 1 species
AUUGAACGCUGGCGGCAUGCCUUACACAUGCAAGUCGAACGGUAACAGGUCUUCGGAUGCUGACGAGUGGCGAACGGGUGAGUAAUACAUCGGAACGUGCCCAGACGUGGGGGAUAACGAGGCGAAAGCUUUGCUAAUACCGCAUACGAUCUAAGGAUGAAAGCAGGGGACCGCAAGGCCUUGCGCGUUUGGAGCGGCCGAAGGCAGAUUAGGUAGUUGGUGGGAUAAAAGCUUACCAAGCCGACGAUCUGUAGCUGGUCUGAGAGGACGACCAGCCACACUGGGACUGAGACACGGCCCAGACUCCUACGGGAGGCAGCAGUGGGGAAUUUUGGACAAUGGGCGAAAGCCUGAUCCAGCAAUGCCGCGUGCAGGAUGAAGGCCUUCGGGUUGUAAACUGCUUUUGUACGGAACGAAAAGGCUCUGGCUAAUACCUGGGGCACAUGACGGUACCGUAAGAAUAAGCACCGGCUAACUACGUG